UACGAACCGUGAAAGCGUGGCCUAU
rnacentral:snRNA from 1 species